rnacentral:lncRNA from 1 species
GCAAAACCAAAAUAUAGUGACACUUUAACAUUAACUGUUAUUUUUUCAUGUGAUCUUUUGUGGAUCAUGUCCAUUUCUUCAGACACUCUGAGGUGUCUUGGGGAAGUGCGGUUAAACACACUUUGAAAUGUAACAGUUCACCUUUAAAGUGCUGCUACAUUUUUGUUUUUUGUUGUUGUUUUGCAUUUGUCUGUAUUUAUUUAAACAGACUAACACAGCUACCUCUUUUGAGUAAAUGUCUUUCCCUUCUCAUCCUUAAUGUUUCAGGUGUUCCAACGAAAUUGAUCGGCUUUGCCCUGCAGGGAGAACCUGUUUCAAACAAGCAUGGAACUCCGCAAGAUGCUCACGGACACAACUGUUGUGAUCACGAGCAUCUAUUGCUUUUAACAGCGUGAAGCGAAAUGCCGUUGUCUCCUAAUUCAGCACAUCGAGAGGCAUGAAAAUCCUGAGAGAAGGAGGCAGGCGAAGCGGGAACUCUGCCCAGCACCUCCUACUCCCGACCCACCCUCUGCGUAGAGAUAAAGACAAGACUUGCCAACAAAGGGCCACAGUCUAUAGGUAUGUCUGUGAGAAGGCGGAUCAUCCAGUGAAUACGAACAGAGCGAGCUGAAUGUACAAACUGACAUCCUGAACCCCUACUCCAGGAGUGAGCAGAACUGCUGAUAUGCACACAGAGCACAACGGGAAGUAUAGUGGCAGAAGUUUAUGAGCAUAGAUUACAAAUUUUCAGAGAAGCAAUAGUAUGAUUAACACAGACAAUCAACUUUCGGAGUGCAGUUAAAUAAACACCACGGCUGUAUGUAGACUGAUUAUCUA